rnacentral:sRNA from 1 species
AAUCAAACGUUAAGUAAUCCUGCCUUCAUGUAUGACACUGAUAAUCAGGGAAAGGCUGUAUCUGCAGAGAAUUUUCAUGACUUGAACAUCUAGUGGAUCAUAAACCUGAAACAGUUGUGACUGAAAUCAACGCUGACUCCCAACAUUAUCAUGGAUAAAAUCAACUUGACAGGGACUUAAAACUGAAAGAUGAAAUCAAACUGACCUACUUGAAAUGAACUUUGCGAGCACUUUCACUAUUCAUUUUCACCAUUCAUUUUCACCAUUCAUUUUCACUAUUCAUUACAGAUUCAUAAAAUGCAGUUUUCACGUUUGUCUGCCUCUAUAGCUAAACUGAUUUCAUAAUCUACUGUCUUGUCCAUCUUGUAUAUAAAUUGUUAAAAUAUCAUUUUCUUG